UGUGUGUGUCUGUGUAUGUGUGUCAGUGUGUGCGCACACACACUGACACACAUACACAGACACACACAUA